CUACCAUGCAGUCGAGCGGAGAAGGGAGCUUGCUCCUGGAUUCAGCGGCGGACGGGUGAGUAAUGCCUAGGAAUCUGCCUGGUAGUGGGGGAUAACGUCCGGAAACGGGCGCUAAUACCGCAUACGUCCUGAGGGAGAAAGUGGGGGAUCUUCGGACCUCACGCUAUCAGAUGAGCCUAGGUCGGAUUAGCUAGUUGGUGGGGUAAAGGCCUACCAAGGCGACGAUCCGUAACUGGUCUGAGAGGAUGAUCAGUCACACUGGAACUGAGACACGGUCCAGACUCCUACGGGAGGCAGCAGUGGGGAAUAUUGGACAAUGGGCGAAAGCCUGAUCAGCCAUGCCGCGUGUGUGAAGAAGGUCUCGGAUUGUAAAGCACUUUAAGUUGGAAGAAGGCAGUAGUAAUACUUG
rnacentral:rRNA from 1 species